GACGAACGCUGGCGGCGUGCUUAACACAUGCAAGUCGAACGGAAAGGCCCUGCUUUUGUGGGGUGCUCGAUUGGCGAACGGGUGAGUAACACGUGAGUAACCUGCCCUUGACUUUGGGAUAACUUCAGGAAACUGGGGCUAAUACCUUAUAGGAUCUCCUGCUGCAUGGUGGGGGUUGGAAAGUUUCGGCGGUUGGGGAUGGACUCGCGGCUUAUCAGCUUGUUGGUGGGGUAGUGGCUUACCAAGGCUUUGACGGGUAGCCGGCCUGAGAGGGUGACCGGCCACAUUGGGACUGAGAUACGGCCCAGAGUGCUACGGGAGGCAGCAGUGGGGAAUAUUGCACAAUGGGCGGAAGCCUGAUGCAGCAACGCCGCGUGCGGGAUGACGGCCUUCGGGUUGUAAACCGCUUUAGCCUGUGACGAAGCGUGAGUGACGGUAAUGGGUAAAGAAGCACCGGCUAACUACGUG
rnacentral:rRNA from 1 species